UAAGAACCGUGUUGGCACUCUUUGAAGCAGGCAGUCUAGUGAGCAGUUCCUCUGUUAAUUUGCCACAGCAGGAUUCGAAGAAGUCGGGAAAAACAAACCAAACGGAGAGGAAAGAAAACUGAGGCAAAAAAGGUGAAGAAAAGUCACCACACCAAUAUGCCAGUGUCAUCUCUUUCUGAGGUUCCUGUAUUCCAACAUCUGCCUGUCUUCCCCUUGCAACAUGGUGUAAAUUCACAAGUUCAAAACAAAACCAUAAAUUUGGAGACAAAAGUAAACAUAAAGCAAGUUCCCAGAGAGUAAUGUAGGAUUAAAGUUCUAGAAAGAAGAUUUAAAUUAA